rnacentral:rRNA from 2 species
GUGCGAGACCGAUAGCGAACAAGUACCGUGAGGGAAAGAUGAAAAGAACUUUGAAAAGAGAGUUAAAGAGUACCUGAAACUGCUGAAAGGGAAGCGAAUCGUAUCCAGUGUCUAUAAUCUGCGGCAUAUUUCAUUGGCGGCGGUGCGCGUGCUUUUGCGUCGGAAGCGGCUUUUGUUGCUCUGUGCUUUUGUUGUGCGUGGUGUUGCUGGUGCCCUGUGUUGCGGUGGGACGUCAGAGUCAGUUUGUAUGCUGCGGGAAAUGGCUGCCGAGGAGGUAGGUCGAGAUUUCGGUCUUGGCUGUUAUAUCUUGGUGGUUUGUUGUCGUGGUUGAGACUGAGGUGCCUACAAUGUGCUUUUGAGUGUACCGGGUUCUCAUUUGGUGGACUGUUUGGAUAGCUUGCUAUGCUUGUGGUUUUUUCAUCGGGUGAUUGAGUCUGGUGGUAACUUGUUGCUGUUCGGGACUUUGAA